rnacentral:rRNA from 1 species
UACGUAGGGAGCAAGCGUUGUCCGGAAUCAUUGGGCGUAAAGCGUGCGUAGGUGGCCAUGUAAGUCCGCUGUGAAAGUCAAAGGCUCAACCUUUGAAAGCCGGUGGAUACUGCAUGGCUAGAGUACGGAAGAGGCGAGUGGAAUUCCUGGUGUAGCGGUGGAAUGCGCAGAUAUCAGGAGGAACACCGGUGGCGAAGGCGGGUCUCUGGGCCGAUACUGACGCUGAGGAGCGAAAGCGUGGGGAGCGAACAGG